AUGAACGCUGGCGGCGUGCCUCAUACAUGCCAGUCGCGCGAACAGACGAGGAGCUUGCUCCUCUGACGUUAGCGGCGGACGGGUGAGUAACACGUGGAUAACCUACCUAUGAGACUGGGAUAACUUCGGGAAACCGGAGCUAAUACCGGAUAAUAUAUUGAACCGCAUGGUUCAAUAGUGAAAGACGGUUUUGCUGUCACUUAUAGAUGGAUCCGCGCCGCAUUAGCUAGUUGGUAAGGUAACGGCUUACCAAGGCAACGAUGCGUAGCCGACCUGAGAGGGUGAUCGGCCACACUGGAACUGAGACACGGUCCAGACUCCUACAGGAGGCAGCAGUAGGGAAUCUUCCGCAAUGGGCGAAAGCCUGACGGAGCAACGCCGCGUGAGUGAUGAAGGUCUUCGGAUCGUAAAACUCUGUUAUUAGGGAAGAACAAAUGUGUAAGUAACUAUGCACGUCUUGACGGUACCUAAUCAGAAAGCCACGGCUAACUACGUG
rnacentral:rRNA from 1 species